AAUGAACGCUGGCGGCGUGCCUAACACAUGCAAGUCGCACGAGAACGUUUCAGCUUGCUGAGAUUAGUACAGUGGCGCACGGGUGAGUAACGCGUGGAUAAUCUACCUCCGAAUUGGGGAUAACAUUGCGAAAGCGGUGCUAAUACCGAAUAAUAUCCCCGGGACCCCGGUCUUGGUGAUCAACGGUGGCCUCUACAUGUAAGCUACCGUUUGGAGAUGAGCCCGCGUACCAUUAGCUAGUUGGUAGGGUAAUGGCCUACCAAGGCUUCGAUGGUUAGCUGGUCUGAGAGGAUGAUCAGCCACACUGGAACUGACACACGGUCCAGACUCCUACGGGAGGCAGCAGUGAGGAAUUUUGCGCAAUGGGCGAAAGCCUGACGCAGCGACGCCGCGUGAGUGAUGAAGGCCUUCGGGUUGUAAAGCUCUGUGGAGGGAGACGAAUAAGGCAUGGCUAACAUCCAUGUUGAUGACGGUAUCCCUUUAGCAAGCACCGGCUAACUCUGUGCCAGCAGCCGCGGUAAGAC
rnacentral:rRNA from 1 species